AGUACGGGAUCUACCAAGAAAACGGACUCAAGACGAAGUGCGUUUCGAUAAGACUUAGGCAGAGACACGUCAGAUCACUCUGACAAUCUAAUGCAGUUGUGUGCCCCUGUCAGCUCGGAACAUAUCCUCAGGACUGGGGUACGGUCUUCGUUGGAACAAGGGGCCAUGAGCAGUCGAGUCCAUCCCUUUUUGGAGUCGCGAGAUUGUUCAAGACCUGCCAACCAAUGAAAAGAUUAUUAGACAAUAUCAGUGGACUGUUUGAAUUUAUCAUUUGCACAUUAAAUGUGAGCUUUAGGAAAUAGGAACACUUUAAGAAUCAGUGACAUGUACUUUAAAAAAAUUAAUAAAUCAUUUCUUGAAUAUUUGGUGAUAUUGAAUGUUAUUUCAUAACAUUAAAUGUGACAAACAAAUUAUACAGAAAUACUAUUUGUUCGAAAGUGUAUACAUAGGGAGAGAGAAGCAUGUUUUGUGAAAAAAAAUAAAAAUAUU